rnacentral:hammerhead_ribozyme from 1 species
AUUCAUCUGACGAGUCCCAAACGGGACGAAACGCGUGUCAAACUAGAU